UUCAGACCUCAAAUCAA
rnacentral:rRNA from 1 species